rnacentral:rRNA from 1 species
CACUUAUGUUGAAAAAUGAGGGGAUGAGCUGUGGAUAGGAGUGAAAGGCUAAUCAAACCCGGAGAUAGCUGGUUCUCUUCGAAAACUAUUUAGGUAGUGCCUCGUGUAUUACUGUAGGGGGUAGAGCACUGUUUCGGCUAGGGGGUCAUCCCGACUUACCAAACCGAUGCAAACUCCGAAUACCUACAAGUAUGAGCACGGGAGACAGACUGCGGGUGCUAACGUCCGUAGUCGAGAGGGAAACAACCCAGACUGUCAGCUAAGGUCCCAAAGUAUGAUUAAGUGGGAAACAAUGUGGGAAGGCACAAACAGCUAGGAGGUUGGCUUAGAAGCAGCCAUCCUUUAAAGAAAGCGUAAUAGCUCACUAGUCGAGUCGGCCUGCGUGGAAGAUAUAACGGGGCUAAAUCAUACACCGAAGCUACAGAUCUUAAAUUUAUUUAAGAUGGUAGAAGAGCGUUCUGUAAGCCGCUGAAGGUAAGCUGAGAGGCGAACUGGAGGUAUCAGAAGUGCGAAUGUUGACAUGAGUAACGAUCAAAGAGGUGAAAAACCUCUUCGCCGAAAAACCAAGGGUUCCUGUCCAACGCUAAUCGAGGCAGGGUGAGGCGGCCCCUAAGGCGAGGGCGAAAGCCGUAGUCGAUGGGAAACAGGUUAAUAUUCCUGUACUUUUUACAACUGCGAUGGGGUGACGGAGAAGGUUAAACUAGCACGGCGACGGUUGUCCGUGUUUAAGGUUGUAGGCUGGCGUUUUAGGUAAAUCCGGAAUGCUAAGGCUGAGGACUGAUGACGACCACUCAUUGAGUGGGAAGUAGUUGAUACCAUGCUUCCAGGAAAAACCUCUAAGCUUCAGGUUGUAAGGAACCGUACCCUAAACCGACACAGGUGGUUAGGUCGAGUAGACCAAGGUGUUUGAGAGAACUAUGGUGAAGGAACUAGGCAAAAUAGCACCGUAACUUCGGGAGAAGGUGCGCUGCGUUUGGUGAUGAGACUUGCUCUCUAAGCUGAACGUAGUCGAAGAUACCAGGUGGCUGCGACUGUUUACUAAAAACAUAGCACUCUGCAAACUCGUAAGAGGAAGUAUAGGGUGUGACGCCUGCCCGGUGCCGGAAGGUUAAUUGAUGGGGUUAGCUUAUGCGAAGCUCUUGAUCGAAGCCCCGGUAAACGGCGGCCGUAACUAUAACGGUCCUAAGGUAGCGAAAUUCCUUGUCGGGUAAGUUCCGACCUGCACGAAUGGCGUAACGAUGGCCACACUGUCUCCACCAUAGACUCAGUGAAAUUGAAAUCGCUGUUAAGAUGCAGUGUACCCGCAGCUAGACGGAAAGACCCCGUGCACCUUUACUAUAGGUUCACACUGGACUUUGAUUUUAUUUGUGUAGGAUAGGUGGGAGACUUUGAAGCUGAGACGCUAGUCUUAGUGGAGUCGUCCUG